rnacentral:lncRNA from 1 species
AGCAUUUGCUGAUGAACCAUGAUGAAAAAAAUUGGAAGGGAACAGGAAACACAUACACUAGCAUCUGGUUUCACCACACUUGAGCCCUUGAGAACUAUUAAGUGAUAGUUUGACACAACUCAGAGUAAAAUCUGUCUGCUCUCUGAAAGUGUGUAUUUUCAUAAUUUAAGUAAUUCAUGCAAAUUAGUUUAGAUCAAAAUGUGAGCUCCAUUGUUGCCUACAAGUCAGCAUGACUUCAUGAUUGUGAUAUAAUAGUAUCAUCACCUCAGGGAAGGAUACUUCUGUGAAAUUAAGUGAUAUAGUCCUAUCUGAGUAGGAAUAUUGUACAUGAAAAAUCCUGCUAAUAAGCAUAGGUCUUAUUUUGAUAUUUUGGAAUUUUAUAGGGAAUUAAAUACAAUAAAAUAAAGCAUCCUACUGAGGUCAGACAUCUGAGAACAACAGGUUAGUCAAAUCCUCAUUCCUGUGAAAUUUACCAAGGGGCUUUUAAAAUGGCCAAACGUUAAAGUAUCUAGCAUGAUGCUUGAAAUAUAAUAUGUGGAAAUACACUAAACUAAAAUGACCCUGUCCAGUCUCAUGGCUUCAAAUACCAGCCCCAUGCUAAUGAUCAAAUUUUCUAUGCAUUCAAAUCUCCCGAACUCAGAUUUAGAUAUCUAACAUCUCUACUGGUUUCUUCACCUGUUUCCCACAUCAAACUUCUUUCUUUUCUUAAUCCAUUUCCCCCCACCUUUUCCAUUAUAUUAAUCAUAAUUAAAUAGGGACGUUUGGCUCAGGCUCUGAAAUUUGACUCACAUCCCAUGUCAAAUUCAACACCAAAUCCUCUCAACUCUACUUUAAAAAUAUUUUCAAAAUAUGACCACUUCUCUCCACUACAACUCUAGCUCAAAUCAUCCUAUCUUUUUCCUAGGUGAUUGCAAUAACAUCUCACUACCUGGAUCUACUCUUUGUCCUAUAGUCAAUUCUUAUCUCAGCAGACAGCAGACUAUUAAAGCUGUGAACCAUAUCAGCCUCUAUUGCCUUCUGUAGCUUCCAUUUCACCUCCAUAGAAAUCUCCACGAUGACAUCUAAGACUCUCUAUGGUUGGUCCCUCUUCUUGCCUUACAACUAAAAACUCUUCUACCAUUUCCACGGUAUUCACUCUGCUGUAGCAGGGAGACCUAUUUGCUGUCCCUUAAACAAAGCAGAUGUCUUUCUCCUCUGGUCUUUGCAUUUGCUGGUCCUAUUACUAGCAGUGUUAUUUUUUACAUCCACUUGAUGACUUCCCUCAUCUCCUUCAAGUCCUUGAUGGAGAAUGUUCUUAUACAGUAAGGACGUACCUGGCAACCAUAUUUAAAACAGAAUCUUCAGUCCCAUGUCCAGAACUCUUUAUGCGCCUUCUCUGUUUUAUAAUAGUUUGAGAAAAUCAGUAAGUGUUUUGGGGACACAGCACUUACCACCACCUGACAUAAUUAGGCAUAAAACUGUAUUUCUUAAUUAUUUUCUUUCUUAUAUAUUUGUUUGCCUUUCAUCAUCUAAGCAUUUAGCAGAAGUUGUCUAUGUUAUUCACCAUGGUAUUCCUAAUUCCUUAAAAAGUGUUGGAUAUAAAACAAACAUACAUUGAACAUUUGUUGAAUAAAAGAAUUAUAUGUAAAAUUACGGUCAAGAAUUUUUCGAGGGGAAAACUCUUAUCCUCUAAACACAUUUAUUUGGAUACCUGGUAAAUUAUACUAUAAUUAACUUGGGAAAUAAACUUGUUCCUCUUAUGUUAAUUGAGGGAAGCUUUGGCAGGAGCAUUCUGCUUCAUCUCCAAGUAUUUUAAUCAAAGCCUAUUGUUAUUUUUUUCAAAUAUGACAACCCUAUGGGACCCACCGAGCUGAAGAUUAGUGAAGAUUAGCUGGGACACCCAGUUCCUGUUCUCAUUGUGGAGUGCCAGAUUUCCUGGGCAAACAGUGUGAGUAGAUAAAGCACAUGGGUGGGGUGGCGUCAGGUUUCAGGCAUCAGCCCAUUCCAGGCUUUGCUCUUCAACACAUACUGUCCUCCUGAGCCAGGACGCAGACCAUGACUACUUUUGCCUCUGCACGUCUGUUCUGAUUUCUUUCUUCAUGUGGGAUGCCUCUCUAUCCUUCUCCUGCUUUUAAUAUGGAGCUUCAGUCUCUAAGCUAAAAGGCCAAGUCCAGAUUCACCUGCCAAUGAAGCUCUUUAAAUUAUCUCUUCUUUCUCAGGACUCACUGGCUAUCAGACAUUACUUUAGGUGAAGACUUUCCAGUCUGACUUCCCUCACCUGAGCCUUAAGGAUCCAUUUUCUGACAUGGUGAUAGUAAAGAUAUUGGUUGUCAAGUGGAAUCUCAGCAGUCAUUUUCAGACAAAGGGAAAGAAAAAGUAUGGAAGAUGCCUGAUUCUCAAAGAGUCAUCCGGUCCUGGGAUUACAGCCUAAGUCCAUGGAAGUGAAAGUCCUCUUUUUCUUUGUACCUCUUACUGAGAUAAGUCUGAUGCAAUUAAUUAUAUUAGUUACAUUCUAUUCAUUGGUUAUAACUAUAUUUUAAAUAUACCUGGUUUAUAAGAAUUAAACCUAUUUGCCAUACCACAGUUAUUGCUUCAGAAGCCAAAUGUGAUUUUAUUAUGGUCAUAAAAUUAUUUUAGAUAUCCUCAUAUCUCUUAUAUAUCUGAACUGCCCAGGAACUUUCAUGAUUAUAAUGUACCACAUAGGACAUAUUGUAGUUGAUCACUAAGCAGAGAAAUCUACCUAGAUUAAGCAAAAAAAAAAAAAAAAUAUGUAUUGAGAUUGAUAUGGUUAGCCUUUUUGUCCCCACUCAGAUAUCAUCUCGAAUUGUAAAUCCCCAUAUUUUCCCCCAUGUGUCAAUGGGAGAGACCAGGUGGAGGUAAUUGAAUCAUGGGGGUGAUAGUGAGUGAGUUCCCAUGAAAUCGGAUGGUUUUCUAAGGGGCUCUUCCUCCUUCACUUGGCAAUUCUCCUUCCUGCCACCCUGUGAGGAAAGUGCCUGCUUCCCCUUCACCUU